rnacentral:rRNA from 1 species
UGGAUAACCUGCCCUGAGGUGGGGAAUAACCCGGGGAAACUCGGGCUAAUACCGCAUGAUACCUAGCGGUCAAAGAGGGCUCGCAAGGGCUCUUGCCACAGGAGGGGUCCGCGUUCGAUUAGCUAGUUGGUAGGGUAAUGGCCUACCAAGGCGACGACGGGUAGCCGGCCUGAGAGGGUGACCGGCCACACUGGGACUGAGACACGGCCCAGACUCCUACGGGAGGCAG